UNGCCUCAAAAAGGCAAGAUAAUCUGAC
rnacentral:piRNA from 1 species